rnacentral:rRNA from 1 species
AGAGUUUGAUCCUGGCUCAGGACGAACGCUGGCGGCGUGCCUAAUACAUGCAAGUCGAACGGUCUUUUCUAUGGAAGCUUGCUUCCACUGAGAAGAUAGUGGCGGACGGGUGAGUAACACGUGGGUAACCUGCCCAUAAGAGGGGGAUAACAUCCGGAAACGGGUGCUAAUACCGCAUAGUUUUCUUGAUCGCAUGAUCGAGAAAGGAAAGACGGCCUUUGUGCUGUCGCUUAUGGAUGGACCCGCGGCGUAUUAGUUAGUUGGUGAGGUAAUGGCUCACCAAGACGAUGAUACGUAGCCGACCUGAGAGGGUGAUCGGCCACAUUGGGACUGAGACACGGCCCAAACUCCUACGGGAGGCAGCAGUAGGGAAUCUUCCGCAAUGGACGAAAGUCUGACGGAGCAACGCCGCGUGAGUGAAGAAGGUUUUCGGAUCGUAAAACUCUGUUGUCAGAGAAGAACAAGUUGGAGAGUAACUGCUCCAGCCUUGACGGUAUCUGACCAGAAAGCCACGGCUAACUACGUGCCAGCAGCCGCGGUAAUACGUAGGUGGCAAGCGUUGUCCGGAUUUAUUGGGCGUAAAGCGAGCGCAGGCGGUUCCUUAAGUCUGAUGUGAAAGCCCACGGCUCAACCGUGGAAGGUCAUUGGAAACUGGGGAACUUGAGUGCAGAAGAGGAGAGUGGAAUUCCAUGUGUAGCGGUGAAAUGCGUAGAUAUAUGGAGGAACACCAGUGGCGAAGGCGACUCUCUGGUCUGUAACUGACGCUGAGGCUCGAAAGCGUGGGGAGCAAACAGGAUUAGAUACCCUGGUAGUCC